AACCCCGGCCGAAAACCCCGAAGAGCCCAAGAAGCAAAAAGCAACGAAAGGGGGAUACGAAUAGACUUCUCGACGAACAAACGCGUCCAUGUGUUGUUCUUGUUCUUGUUGUUGUUGUUGUUGGUGUUGUUGAUGUUGUUGGGCUGGAUCAUCUCUCUCUUUGCCCGACCACCACCACCACCACCACCACCACCACCGCUGAUGAUCCUCUUCCUCCUGUCAGCCUGGCGUGGUCGAACUAACUAACCAUCGGAUCGCCGCAGCUACUCUCCACACUCGCCCAUCUCCAACCCAUCGACGAACCCAAUCGCACCCCGCCGCGGUUACCAACUUAACUCCGUCUGGUACCCGAUGGUACUUUUCAAACUCUGUGCGGUGAGGUGGACACAUCACGCAUCCUUCUCCUUUUGUAGGGCAUGAGUAUCUGUGUAAAGCAAAGCAUCGGGCGGGCACAAAUCGCCAGCUUGCGACCACAUCAGGAACAAACGUGGAAGGAUCUUUUCUAAAUACCAUUUUUACGCCUUUUUUGGUUUUGGGAUGUUAUUAUUAUUAUUAUUAUUAUUAUUUUGGUGAGGGAGUGUGCAAUAAAAAAAGAAAAAGAAAAAGAAAAUUUACAUUACUCGCCAACAAGAAAGGAACAGAACAUCAAGUUAUCAUCAUUGAUCGAAUUUGUUAGAUAACUAAACAUAACUAACUGGCAUCUGAUUCAGCCAUCCACGGGCAGGAAAUCAGACAUUCUCGCGAUCCUGCAUUGCGAUUUGUGCGUUGCACCCGUGAUGCACCCGGCCUGGUCAAACGAAGGAAACACGAGAAUAGCCAGGAAGUCAUCGAGUCGAGUCGUGCUUGGUCAAG
rnacentral:sRNA from 1 species